AUUGAACGCUGGCGGCAUGCCUUACACAUGCAAGUCGAACGGCAGCGGGGACUUCGGUCCGCCGGCGAGUGGCGAACGGGUGAGUAAAGUAUCGGAACGUACCUUUCAGUGGGGGAUAACGUAGCGAAAGUUACGCAAUACCGCAUAUUCUGUGAGCAGGAAAGCAGGGGAUCGCAAGACCUUGCGCUGAUUGAGCGGCCGAUAUCAGAUUAGCUAGUUGGUGAGGUAAAGGCUCACCAAGGCGACGAUCUGUAGCGGGUCUGAGAGGAUGAUCCGCCACACUGGAACUGAGACACGGUCCAGACUCCUACGGGAGGCAGCAGUGGGGAAUUUUGGACAAUGGGGGCAACCCUGAUCCAGCCAUGCCGCGUGAGUGAAGAAGGCCUCGGUUGUAAG
rnacentral:rRNA from 1 species